GUGUCUUCAGUACAAGAAACUUUCUUCAGCAUCAGAAAUUUCACACCAAAGAAUAGUUACUGAUUGUAUCAACCAUCAACAGACACUACUAGUGAGGAAAAGAAAUAGAGUAGGCUUACAGACCCCUUGAUGUCAAGGAUACAGUGCCCCUCCAUCUGCAGUAGCUGCAGUAUUAUAGCAGGGCUUGCCCAGGCUCAAGUGCAUCUAAUGCUUGUUGCAUGCAAGGAUGAAAUAUAAGUUUUUGAACUGACUUGAUUCAAGGCUUCUGGGAAAUGUCAAUCCAC